AAAGUUAUAAUCAUCCAUUUAUUUCAUUGAAUAUUAAAGCACACAUAAUAAUGUUCAAAAGUUUAUAUGUAAAUGAAAAUUAAAACACAUAAAAAGUUCAUACAUCCCUAAUCAAGUUUAAAAUUACACACAUAAUUGUUCAAAAGUUCAUACAUCCCUAAUCAAGUUUAAAAUUAAAAUACAUAUUCUUAAUCAGUUUUGCUUCCACCACUUGAUUCUAUUAUUUGAUUAGGUGAUGGA
rnacentral:lncRNA from 1 species